rnacentral:lncRNA from 1 species
CACAAAGUUCAGGCUGUUCUUCUCCGGGAAGGUGGGCAUCAGCUUGAGCUCCACGUCUUUCUGGACGUAGUGCUCGUGGAGGGGCAGGGCACUGAGGCUGGAAGCACAGGAGAAGUUCUCGUUGGGUUUCUCCACCGUGAAGUAGACCAUGGAGUCCAGGUCCUGGGGCAGCUGGAAGCGCUCCUUGAAGUCGGUGAUCUCCAUGAACUUCUUGACGUUGUUCUCCCACUGGAUGUUGAACUGGCUGGUCUCCUUCUCCGGCUGGCACCCCAGCUCAAAGAGGGGCGUCUUGCUGCGGCUGGGCGGCAUGGUCUGCCCGGGGCUGUCGGGCAGCUCACUGGGGCUGAUGGUGCCGCUGAUCAUCUCGCUGCAAGGGUCGCUCUGGAUGGAGCUGGCGAUGGAUGGACUCUCGAAGCUGCCCAGGGAGCUGACGGAGCUGCACCGGCUCAUCACCAGCGGCGUCUCCUGGAUGUAGUUCUCCGACGAGCUCGAGGGCGUGAGGUCCUCGUGGCGCGACGGGGACGACUCCCGCAGGAAGACCUUGUCACGCUUCUGGAAGGGGAUUGUGAUGGGCUGGGAAAUCCCGACUGGCGUGGUUGGGCCCUGAUCCACCGCCUUCUCCUUCUCCUGCCGCCCGUCCUCAGGCUCCCCGUCCCCUUCCUCCAUCUCGAUGAUCUCCAGGGAGGAGUCGCUGUCGAUGUCGUUCUCGCUGCGGCUCUGCCCAUCCAGCACGUUGUCGGCCGAGGAGAGGGAGGAGAGCGAGCUGCACCGGGAGAAGCAAAUCGGGGUGUCCUCCACCGAGUACUUCUGCACCGACUCCUGCUCCGCCGUGGCUGGUGGGUGGGCAGACAGCUUCUCCGGGAUCUUGCUGAGGGUCUCGGCUGUCUGCAGAAGCACAGGGGGCAGCCAGGCUUGCUUCCUGCCCAGGAGCGAGGGGUGGUGGCCGGUGCUGGCCAGCCCCCCGGCGCUCGCGGCCGAGCUGCUCUUGGCCAGGUUCUCGAGCAGGGGAAUGUGCUGGUAGGAUGGGGAGAGUUUGAUCGUGUGGACCUGCGGGUCGGAGGAAAGCUUGCUGCCUGCAUCCUUCUUCCAUUCAGGCUCCUUGUCCGGUGCCUUGGGACUGGGGAAAGUCACCAUCUUCUUGGCCCUUUCGGGCAGGUCUCUCUGCUCUGGCUUGUCCGGCUCCCCCGGGUCUUUGGCCUUGAGCACGGGCGGCUCGAUCCGCUCGGGCUUGUUGCUGAGGAUGUUCUUGAGGUCAAGCCUGCUGGGCCGCUUCUGGUACCGCUGCAGCUCCUCGCGGUAGUCGAG